rnacentral:lncRNA from 1 species
CCCCGACUCCGAGACAAGACUGGCCGAAGGGCGACACUUUCACAUCACAAGGGGUCUGUGGCUGAAGGCGACAUGGCAAAGGGAGGAGAGGAGGAACGUCCUGCGCAAGUGGCAUGCCCCCUACCACCGAAUGGUACGAACGGUCUGGAGUUGAUACGGCACGGGAUCUGCUGUCCAUUCGGCAGGACCAGCUGGCUGUCCAGCGAGAACUGCUGGCCACACAGCAGGGUCUGCUGGCCACCCAGCAGCAGCAGCUGGCAGUUCAGCAGGAAAUGCUGCUCGUGCAGAGAGAGGCAGUCGAUGCACUCCGUCGACUUGCAAGCAUAUUUGAGCAGUCCGUGGACACAGGGGUGUUGCCCUCUGACCGGAAAAUUAGCUGUAGAGGGACAAGCAGCAGCAAGUGCGCACCAGUCGUCCGCACUGACUUCGCUAGUGCUUCAGCUCGUCGGUGUGCAGAAUCUCCAUCCGCCAGCCGAAUAAAAACUUGGCUUGAUUCGAGCGGCAGCGUGUUCGCUGAACGGCAUCUGCUGUCUCUGCAGUCUAGAUCAGGAAUGAGGUAAGACUGCAACGGAAGCGGCUACGUAGAUGUCUGCAAGGUGAGUGAUGCAUGCAGCCAUUUCUUUGUUUGAUAUUGCGUUUCAAGAGAAGAUGAAGCUGCGGCAUUGUCUAAAGGUCCUGGUUUCUGCUUCCGCCUGGUCAACAUUGCUGCCCCAUGAAUCGUGUCUCAUCGACUCUUAUACUUUUUGCGAGCUGACGUUUGGGCUUGUUGCUUUGGAUAGAAUGCUAUGGUGGGCUUGGCCUGGAGCCAGCUGAAUGUCUUUGUCCAUGAAGCCAUAAACGAGGACAUAAUAAUAAUUUAUUGCAUAUGAACAAAGCGAGGUUGAAGUCAGACCUGCCUA